rnacentral:lncRNA from 1 species
UUCCGGUAUUCGAAUUAUGAAAUGUUACGAAUCCAAUACUAAGAGAGAUUUAUAGACAUAUUUAUCCAAAAUAAUAGAUAUAUUACUUUAUUAGUUGGUUUGGUGCGUAUAAUUGGAUUUAAAACACAACAACGGCUUUUUUAUGUGAUUUUUAGAUACAGGAAUUCACUAGUUGAGAAAGUCUUCAACAUUACAGGUACAUAUUUAAUGUAUUCAUUAUAUAAAGCAUUAUGUUAAAAGUUCAGUCAAUUCAUUUCUAAAAGGGUGGUAAAGAGGGCUCUGAAAAUGGAAUACUUAAAAUAAAAAUCUUGAAAACGUUGUAUGAUAAUAAAAAUUGAAAGAAACAAAACCACAGAUCUAUAAAUUAAUAGUUUUCAAAAGUACCAGGAUAAUAACUUAGUACGCAAGACGCGCGUAAAAUCGUAAAUAUUAUGGAAAAAAGCAAUUAUAGAUUAUCGUUGGUCAUAUCAAAGAGCUCUUUUUUUUUCUCAUUCGCCGUACCUGCGUGUUAUCAAAUGAGGGAAAUUAAAAGUACCGACAAGAAAGACGGAUAACCUCCAAGAGGGAAAACGAAGCACAAAUGUCGAACCAGACACGAGAAAACGUCAAAACACAAAAAAUCUUGAAAUAAAAAGACCGAAAACGUUGCACGAAAAUAACCCUUUACCAUCCUCUGUUUGAGAUGCAUUCUGAUUAAGGUUGAAUUUCUGUAGUCCAAUGCAAUAAUCUUUCCAUACAAUUAUUUUCUUUGAAACGUUUUACUAAGAUAUUUGUGUCUUAACAGCUAAGAAUCCUUUUGUUUAGAUUAUAUGCUAUAAUGAUUAAUGUUCAGAUGAAAGGAAUGAUCUUGUUAAGAAAAAUCGUUGCAUAAUACAAUUUCGUUUAAAUGAGAAAAAAGAGAAAUGCAAACCUUUAAGUUUAUCUUGCAGAAAAUGAAAACCAAUUAUCUUCUUAUUGUUAAUUUUGCUUCUAUCUAGGAGACGACAUGAACUUAUCACAGGAACAAAAACUUCAGCAAUGGAACGAUGAACAAGUUCAAAUUUAUAUCGG